GAGUUUGGAGGGUGCCGGUCAGCGGAGCCGUGCGAUGUAUUUGAAAAGCAAUCAGUCCGACCUUCCCCCAUAGAUUCAUCCUGCCUGAAAAUCAUAUGCGUGGUUUUUCCUGUUUCCUGCUCUGUAGCUGACAUCAGGGGAGCAACGUGAACACAGGAAAAUGGAAAUCAACAUUUGAAACUUUUAAAUGGAAGCUUUAUUGGGGUUCCACAUAUGGAAAACUGCAAAUAGCAGAAGUAUGUGACUCAAUAAAUUAUUCUGGAGUGACCACAUCCUCUAACUGCCUCCCAGGACAAGACGGAGAAUGUGAACAAUGCUCCUGAAGGCCCCUUUCCCUCAAAGAAUCACUGCAAUUGAAGGAAAAAUGCUCCAUGUCCCCUCUGCCAGUUGGUGUUUAUCAAAGGACAACGGAGGAAGAGAGACAAAGUGCCUGGAUGUGUGUGUUAAUCAAGAGUUGUCAGGACCCUGCCUCUAAAAGAAAGCGCUAAAAUGAUGCUUUUGACAAGACUUUUCUCAAAGUGGAUGCAGUCUAAGGGUUGGAAAACAAGGCCCAAUCAGGCUAGGUCUGACUUGUCGCCUGCUUUUGUAAAUAAAGUUUUAUUGGCUCACAGAC
rnacentral:lncRNA from 1 species